rnacentral:rRNA from 1 species
CCUACGGGUGGCAGCAGUGAGGAAUAUUGGUCAAUGGACGAGAGACUGAACCAGCCAAGUAGCGUGAAGGAUGACUGCCCUAUGGGUUGUAAACUUCUUUUAUACGGGAAUAAAAUAGGGUAUGCAUAAUCUCUUGUAGGUACCACAUGAAUAAGGAACGGCUAACUCCGUGCCAGCAGCCGCGGUAAUACGGAGGGUCCGGGCGUUAUCCGGAUUUAUUGGGUUUAAAGGGAGCGUAGGUGGAUUGUUAAGUUAGUCGUGAAAGUUCGCGGCUAAACCGUAAAAUUGCGGUGGAAACGGGCAGUCUUGAGUGCGCUAGAGGUAUGCGGAAUUCGUGGUGUAGCGGUGAAAUGCUUAGAUAUCACGAAGAACUCCGAUUGCGAAGGCAGCACACUGGACUGCAACUGACGCUGAUGCUCGAAAGUGCGGGUAUCGAACAGGAUUAGAUACCCGAGUAGUC